CAUAAAGAGGACAGCUAUUAUAUUAAAUUAUAUGAAAAGGUCUAAAACAAAACACCUCAUGGUGGCUUUAUUCUAACACAUUGUGAAUGAUUAAAAAUGUAUUUCUGUCAAACUAAGACGUUGUGCAUCAGAGGGUUAAGAAACACAGAUCUGGCUUAGUUGCUUUGUUUUUUUGGGAGACAAAACCACAUAAUCAGCUCACUAGGUUUCAUGGCAGUGAGCCACCAGUGGUUUUAAAUUGUUUGUGUUUAUCCUCUUGACUCAAGAUUACGACAUCACAACAGUUUGUUUACAAAGAACAGCAUGCAAAAACAAUAUAACGUACUACAUCUUACGGGAAAGACACACCAGAAAUGAAAUCUCUUCAGUAUUUCUCAUAGAAAGCAAUUAGAUUAAAGGAGAACAAACUGAUAUGGGGUUAAUAUUCUCACUUCUGAGAUGUUUGUCCUGAGAAAAUAACCCCAGCACUCUCAAGAUGCAUCUACUUUAGAGUUUCUGAUCUCAGGUUUCUGCAAUCAAAAGUUAGAAAUCUUAGACUUCUCUCAUCACAUUCUUCAUAAAGAUCUGAGCUGCUCUCUGAAUUCAUUAUAAUUCUGUUCUAUUGACUCAUGUGUGACUGUUUAUUCUUCUGAGGAAUAUUUAAACAUGCCAUCAUGAGCUAUAAACUGUUGCUCUGCUCUUCUUCAUGCUGUCAUAUUGUAGCCCAAGUCUCUGGACUCAUCCACCUGAGAGCAGGAACAUUCCAGCGGAAGAAUGCUUUGUACAUGCAUGCACAGGAGGAGCUGAUUUGGGGAAACUGCUAUUGAUUGCACCCGUUGAUCUAUCGGCUCAUUUUGAACCCUUUCCUCUCCGGGCUGUGCAAAAGUAGAGCACUAAUGUGUAUUGGGUCUGAUUGGAUAAGUGAUAUUCACUCUGGACUUUGUGACAGUCUCUUAAAAUGAGGUCAAUCAGGGUUGUAUUGAAAGGAGAACCUUAUGAAGACCUGCGACUGGAUGGAGAUGGUUCUCAACUGGUUUUGCUUUAAGACACAGACUUUAUAUUGGGCAUCAAGUGGCGACUCCAAGCACCGAAAAUCUUUAUCCAAUAGUAAAAUAAAACCAAUGUUUUGUUUACA
ensembl:lncRNA